AGGGAGCAUGUGCUUGAGAAACUGAAAACAAGGCCCCCACAGCUGGAGUGGAGAGGACAAGACGAUGUUCGGUGUGAGCUAAGACCACAGCGAUGAGGAGGGCCAAAAUCACACCGGGCCACCGGGCCACACAGAGAACGAUGCCCUCUCCUCCAUUGCACGCAACUGAACCAACGUGGCUGGCAUUCCAGCCUCCCUGCCUGGUGCACACCUGCCAUGGUGUAAGAACCAGCUCAUCAUCCCCUGGGUGAAACCAGCUCUACCCUCUCCCCCCCAUCUCCGGUGCUACUCAAAGGCCCGAGUCCCAUUAACUUCUGUACUCACAGCCCAGCAGAGUGUCUGGUGGAGCUUCCAGACAAAGAUAUAACAAAGAGUUCGUGGUUUCUAAAAGGUUGUCAGAGUGGCAAGGUCUACCUUAGAAUAUGCCGACACCAUUAAGAUCCUUUUUUGGUGAAACGUUUCCAGUGAUACUCAGAUGCCACUGUUCAGAAAGAGCCCGGCAGGAGCGAACGAAAGCAGAUUCCUCCUCCGAAGAGAGCCCAGGCAACAAAUGGAGGCUGGUAAGUAGCACCCGUUGGUAAGAGAGAUAAGAUGACUUGGAACGAGUCUGAGUAUCAGCAAGCCUGCAUUUUCAAACUCAGGCCAACAGCUCAACGUCUAUUUAUGUCAGGUUAGAUCGCACCCUUUGAUAAAGCAUACGGUCACUAGAAAGUGUCCUUUAGUCCCCCUUCCUUCCUCUUGUAGGCAUAAAUUCCCCCUUAUACAGAUCAGUCUGCAGUCAUGAUUGGGUCCACCCUGAGUCCAAACAACCAGGACUUUCAUCUGAGAGGGGGAAAAAAAAAUCUAUCCGAACCCACUGUGUGAAAAUUGUAUGGACCCCAAGUAGUUUUAAUUGAAUGUUGUACUUUUUACCAUAUACUUCUGCAUCUUUCGUAAAUGGGUUGGAGGCCACUUUGUAUCUAACACAAUGGUACCAACGUUGAAUUUU